UACGAAGGGGGCUAGUGUUGCUCGGAACCACUGGGCGUAAAGCGCACGUAGGCGGAUUGUUAAGUCAGGGGUGAAAUCCUGGAGCUCAACUCCAGAACUGCCUUUGAUACUGGCGAUCUUGAGUCCGGGAGAGGUGAGUGGAACUGCGAGUGUAGAGGUGAAAUUCGUAGAUAUUCGCAAGAACACCAGUGGCGAAGGCGGCUCACUGGCCCGGUACUGACGCUGAGGUGCGAAAGCGUGGGGAGCAAACAGG
rnacentral:rRNA from 1 species